ACAGAUGCCAUUAAAAGCAUAAACUCCAAAAUGGAAUUUUACAUCUGAAAGGCAUAAUAAAACUUGAAAGCCAAAUAGUAGAAGCGAGCAGAGACUGAUAGUAGAUGAUAAGGACGGAUAUAUUGUCCGCAUAAAAUGCUAAAAACACCUAUUUAAUAUUUAUACUAACAUGUAAACUAACCUUGAGAUCAGACAGGUCCACGCAUCUUCCAAGUGAAGCGGGAAGUUCAGAGAGCUUAUUGCUUGAACAAUCCAACCUAAAGGAAAACUCAUACAUCAGUAAAAUGAAGCUAUUAAGAAUUCAACUUGCUGGAAUUUUUAGCAAAAAAGAAAGGAUCUUUAUACUGUAAACCCAAUACCAUCAUGUUA
rnacentral:lncRNA from 1 species